CGCUCUGCCCGCCCCGACGGGGCCCGACGGCACCGGCACCGUCCGGCCCCCGCGGAAACGCUGCCGCACCGGGGCUCUCCGCUGCCGCUCUCGGUGCGCCGGGCCCGGAGCCGCCGCUCUCGGGGCGCUCGGCAGCGCAGGCUCAGCGGAUGCGCCGCCUCAGGAGCGCUUAAAAGCACCAAGUUUGGGCUUUGAAACCACUUUUCAGUGGGUUUCUAUUUUUUUGUUUUUUAUUUUUUAUUUUUUUUUUUCCAGCGGCAGCAGCACCAGCUGGGAACGGAAGACCAGAGAAUAGCUAUUGAUUAAUCUAUUAGAGGUGUUAACGACUUAAUCAUUGCGGGCUUUAGCAUAUGAAAAAGUAGGAAAUGAGGGAGUGUGUGUGAAUGUGAGGACCGUAUUGCCGCGGCCCCAGGAUCUCCGCGGCCCGCGACCUCCGCGCACCGCCCGCUGUCACACGCGGAGUCACAGAGCCACGUUCACACACACGCACUCCCUUUGGGUGUCGCCCGGCGCGCCGCAAAGGCUCUCCCUGG